CCCAAACUGCGCACAAUAGCGGCCGGCUCCUCUAUCUAUUUUGUGUCCAGCCGGAGCCGCGCGCGAUGAUUCAUUGCCCCAAUUAGGGGCUCUCUGCAGCGCGCCCGGCUCUAGCCGUCUGAAGGGUCUCCUGGGGGACCCGCCGAAACCCAUCAGCGGCUGGAGCUGGUCUUUAAGUAAAGGUCAAUCAGGACGCGGGAGGAGCCAGGUAAGGACGCUGCGGGCGCCCCUGGAGGCGGAGGAACCCCCCACCCCAGGGCUGCGGUGAGGGCAGCCCCAGCCUAGAUGCAGGCACCCUGCCGGGUUCGUUCAGGGUUGUUCGACCCUCUCAAAAGGGGGGACCAAGCGAGAAGGCCAUUUACAGUCCCGAACAGGCCUGAGUUGGGGAUACCAUUCAGGGCCCCGCGUUCUAAUUUUGGAGAGAGAAAAGAGGAGCCGUCCCCGUCUCCUAGAACCCGUUAGUGAAUGCAUCAUCCUGCGGACAGUCUGAGGCCUGCUCUGCCCCUUCCCACCAUCGACAGGGGUCACUGGGUCACCAGCAGAGGUAGAAAGGGUCCUGUGUGUCCCAAGGUCAGUGAAUCAACCUCUCUGGGUCCUGAUUUCAUUCCCUUCAACAGGAGCCGCAGCAGGGGAUUAACUGUUUCCGUGUCUUUAUUGUACAUGUGUAGAGAUCCACUGUAUUUAUUUAACAAGCAGAGGGACUUGUGGUGCGAGGCGCUUAGGGUUAACUGUGGUGAUCAGCCCCAUUUCACAUACGGGAAAGAAGUGGCAUUGAGUGUAAAGUUUUCAUCCAAAGGGGCUAAGCAGAAUUCAGACCCAGGACGUCGGGCUCCAGGCCCUACUCUUGACCACCAGGGCGAGUAGCCGUGCGAGGCAAACGUCUGGUCCACGUCGCCAGUCUGCUGAUGGGGACGGGACCGUCCAUGGCAGGACAAGGCCAGGAUCCCUGGGUCCUCCCGGAUGAUCUGGCUCAGGCCCUGGUCCAAUCUAGGCAUCUCCAGACCUCUCAUUCCCCAUCUGUGAAAUGGCACCCCUUCCAGCUUCAAAAUUCUACGAGUGUCUGACUUCUGGGCAGUUUAGAGCUUCCUCAUUUGCAAGCAGCAGCCCAGAAUCAGCCUGGGGACAAAGGUGCCCGGUGGUCCCCUCCACCCUCUGGGACACUGAAAUGUAAAUAAAACUGGGCUUCCUCUUGGCAAGGAAGAGGGCCAUGCAUUGUAAACAAACGCAAGAAGAAGGCCUCCGGAAUCCCUGGGGGAUAUUCCAGGGCUCAACCCUUAGUCCAAGGGUUAACAGGAAAUCAUCAUUGGUUGGGACUUUGGGCAUUCACCCUGGCCCAGAGGAAUGCUGUGUCAGCAAAACUGUCCCGAAGGAAUGUUGGGAGCGGGGCAGGGGGCUUCUUGGCUCCUGGCAUUUUUAAUACCUGGAGAGAGGAGGAGGGCUGAUUAGGAAAAGUUUAAAGGGCAAUGUCUGUUGAACUGCAUCCUUGCACAGUUAAAGAGGGACUAUUAGGUCCCACACAGACCGAGAGGUUGCUAGUAAGACGCUGCCCGGCUGGGGACAUGCAGGUCAGCGGGUGAGUUAAACAUGGGUUCCUUAGGGCUCGGCACGUGCUGUCCCUUUUGCUUCAAAUGCAUCUGGGGCUCAUCUGUAUGGCCAUGGCCGCAGCAUCAUCCUCAGAGGCCUCCCUUUCCUCUCUAGACCAGGUGCUGUUCCACACUUCUCCUCAUCCCAGCUCCCCAGCGCAGGAGUUUGCCAUUGAUUUUAUUGAUUUUUCUGUCCCCUGCUCCUGUCUGCCCCGCCCCGGAAUCCUGGGUGCUCCCUCUCAAGGGCAUGAGCCAGGUCUGUCUUGCUCACUGGAGAUCUGGGGCCUGGCUCAGUGCCUUGGUCCCACACACCUGGGUCUCAAUCCUGUUCUGUCCCUUGCCAGCUGUGUGAGCCUUGGGUGGACUUCUUAGCACACCACCCCUCGGUUUUCUGCUCUGUACAAUGGGGGUUGUUAAAUAAAUAGGGAUUUGGGCGCAGGCAUGGGCUCUGGUGUGCUAUAGGUGACCGUGUACGUGUGUUGCCUCUUCCUCUUUCCAGUGUAUGAAGAGGUUCUCCUGCCGCCUGUCCGCACUGCAGGGCACACUGCAGGGCGGCAGGGAGGGCCACUGUGUUGAGUUCACACAGAGUCUGAGGGAGAAGGAUCACGGGGCCAACCAGAUCAAAAGAGAGAGAAUGAAGCAAGCCCUUCUCUGCUAUCCUCAGAGCUUCAGACAUGGCAGGCCACUGGCAAAAAUAUAUCCUCCUUCUCAGAGGGAAAGAAUGUAACUGCUAACAACGAAAAAUCCCUGGGAUUUGUGGAGGCCUUGGGCUUAUGAACCGGUUCACCUCCAUGCACUCGUGUGACACAGCAGUACAUGGAGGCAUCACAUCCAUUUUAAAGAUAGAGAAACUGAGACUCCAAGAAGCAGGGAUUUCCCCAGGGCCACCAUUCUUGGAAUCAGGAUAAGUUGCCAGCUUUGGGGCUGAUGAAAUUUUGUUGCAUUCUCUAUGCAUUUAUUGUGCUAAUUUGUUAAAUAUAAACAUUAAACACAUACAGCAUGUUUUGUA